rnacentral:lncRNA from 1 species
UUUUAUUCCCUUAAACUCACUCUAAGAAGGAUCAAUUAGAGAAUACCAUUUUAUUAUCCCAGUGGGGAUGCUGGCUAAUGGAAUUGAAUUCAGCAGCCCGGAGGAAACAAGACUCGCCCUGGAGCCUUGCUGGGGCGACCCGGGCUCCGGUAGUCGGGGUACCGCACCCCCCAUGGCUCCGUCCGGUGCUCGCGCACACACACACACACACACACAGGCGCGGGCCACCUGGGCGUGCUCCGCCCCGGCCCUACCUGGCGGACCCGCCCCCUGCGCCCGGGCCGCGCGCACACCUGGCGGGCACCGACUCGGCCGGCGGAGGAGACGCCGCGCGGGGCGGGAGCUGCGGAGCCGCGCUCGGCGUUCCUGAGCCGCAGCCCAAGUUUUCCCAAGAAGUCUCAGAUCUGGGGGGCAGGAGGAGCGGAGCGGGGGCGGAGAGCAGAGUUCCUGGAAGGAGACGCCGCCGCCGCAGCCCCACAACAUGGCCUCCUCCGCCUCCUCCUCGGCUGCGGGCGCGGAGAGCACCCCUCCUGCGCAGGCACAUGGCUGAAUAAUCAGGAAAGAAAGAACACCCAGAACAAAACAGGAAAGUCUUGCCAUGGGCCUGCCUGGAGGGUUCCAACACACUGUCAAAAACUGGAACUAGCACAUCGAAAUCAUAAUUUCAUUGAUAGUGUUGGUUACAGCUCAUCUAGGUUAAAAACUCAAUUAUAAAAAAGUAUUGAUAAACAUUACAGAUGGCUGUUGGAUAUAUCAAAAAUCAUGUACAUAUUUGAGAAUGAAUAAAAACUUAUUUUCUGUC